UACAGAGGUCUCAAGCGUUGUUCGGAUUCAUUGGGCGUAAAGGGUGUGUAGGUGGCGCCGUAAGUCGGGUGUGAAAUUUCGGAGCUUAACUCCGAAACUGCAUUCGAUACUGCGGUGCUUGAGGACUGGAGAGGAGACUGGAAUUCAUGGUGUAGCAGUGAAAUGCGUAGAGAUCAUGAGGAAGACCAGUGGCGAAGGCGGGUCUCUGGACAGUUCCUGACGCUGAGGCACGAAGGCCAGGGAAGCAAACGGG
rnacentral:rRNA from 1 species